AAUACUAAAUACCUGAAAUUGUUCCCUUUCUGUACAGUGAUAUAUAGUAUCUCUUAAAACAGACAAGAAAUGAAAUGGAUUUUUUUAUUUUCCAGUAACAAGGAGGUUAACCUGAAGAAAUUGGCUUAAACAUCCUCUUGAAGGAGAAACCUCAGCAGAAACCACACGGAAUAUUUUAGGCUGCAUCAUUCUGAUAAACAAACAUUCCUUUGAGAUACUUCCAAAUGCUUAAAGAUACAUUUCCUACAGAAGAUGAUUACAACUGAUACAAGCAGCUGACAAACCGUUGGCAACUGAUCUGUUUGGUCAAGUGCGGCGCAGUCGUAUAUAAGGUUUAUAGUCGCCUUUAUCGAGCUUAUCAGAUCGGGGCAGCACUCUGCCGACAACAACUUAAUUUUCUCGCCUCGACUCGAUUCGAUUCGAAAAUGUAGUCGGGUUUAUGGGUGUGAAUAAAUCAAGGGAGCUGUCAGAGAUCGACUCGUCUAUGGGUCAAAGGCAAGAGAUCAUGGCAUCUGCACAUCAUGGCUAACGGUGAGACAUCGAGUGCAAGUUAAAGUCGAUGAUGGUCCGAAAGGGUGUUCACAAGAGAAAACUGAAAACUGAAAACUGAACAACCCAAUACAGCACCAGCAGCAACACCAAAUGAGAAAUGCGGUUACUCGGCCCGUUCAGCAGAACACUGAAAUAACUCCGUGGAAUGAUAUUUCAUGGAUUGUGGCAGGCUUCAGGACCGAAAACGAGAGAGUUAUGUAAAUUUUAGGAGACCGUAGUUAUGAGGAAUUGAAACGUCUUGUCGAUCCAUUUGUAAUGUGAUACGGAGAUGGUAAACUGUAAAUGGAAGAAAUACUCUUGACAAAUAUAAAUAGCUUUCGAACAUCUCCAUA